AUGCGCCCUGUGACUGUAGAUGUCGGCGUCCCAUCGGCGAACAGCAGGGCGGAGGCGCUGGCGGUGGUCCGCGACGUCUUCUACCUCGCCGAGAACCAGAUACCUUUCUUCGUCCUCCAGAAGAUCGGGGAGCUGACGGCUUUGGAUGGUAAGGAUCGUGUGAUUAACGAGAUCACGGAGUAUGCCCUCGAUCUCAUGAGAGGACAGAAGUAUAAAGAGGCAGCGCCGGCCAUCAUGCCGCCGCAGCCAACAGUGCCUGGCAAUCUUCUCCAUCUUCUCCAUAUGCACUUGAAGCCUGCUCCACUCUCCGCCCCGCCUGCUGCCACCGGAAACGACUCGGAUCAAGUGCGCCGGUGGCGCUCGGCGACAGAGUACAGCUUCGCUGGGGUGAAGUUCAAGGGUCUGUCCAUGAAAGAGAAGGGCAUGCGCUGCAUCCUCGACGUGAAGCUGAAUGGCGGGGGAGGCACGCUGGAGGUGCCCCGCCUGGACAUCGACAAUGAGACAUGGCGGCUGCUACGCAACCUGGUGGAGCUGGAGCAGAGGAACCGGGAGGCAGUGGGGAGCCAUGUCACGGCAUACUGCGUGUUCAUGUCCCAGAUGGCCUGCACCACGAAGGACGUGGAGCUGUUGUCGAAGAGAGAUGUCAUUGUGCACGGCCACGGCAACAACGACGAGGUGGCCAAAUGCUUCGCCGACCUCUGCAAGGGGAUCCAAUUCGACCCUGACGACCCCGAGUGCAACUACCUACAGGAGACGUGCUCGAUUCUAGAGAAGCGGUCUCGGAGCUCCUCACGGAAGUGGAUGCAUGGCUGA
rnacentral:rRNA from 1 species